AGCAGCCGCGGUAAUUCCAGCUCCAAUAGCGUAUAUUAAAGUUGUUGCAGUUAAAAAGCUCGUAGUUGAACUUCGGGGUUUACCCAUUGGUCAGGCUUAAUUGUCUGUACUGGUGAGAUAAAUCUCUACCUUCUGAGGAACUUUCAUGCCAUUUAUUUGGUGUGAUUGGAAAUCAGGACUAUUACUUUGAAAAAAUUAGAGUGUUUAAAGCAGGCUAACGUCUGAAUAUAUUAGCAUGGAAUAAUGAAAUAGGACGGCUUGGUUCUAUUUCGUUGGUUUCUAGGAUCACCGUAAUGAUUAAUAGGGAUAGUUGGGGGCAUUAGUAUUCAAUUGUCAGAGGUGAAAUUCUUGGAUUUAUUGAAGACUAACUACUGCGAAAGCAUUUGCCAAGGAUGUUUUCAUUAAUCAAGAACGAAAGUUAGGGGAUCGAAGACGAUCAGAUACCGUCGUAGUCUUAACCAUAAACUAUGCCGACUAGGGAUCGGACGAAGUUAAUUUUAUAAUGACGCG
rnacentral:rRNA from 2 species